rnacentral:misc_RNA from 1 species
GAAAUGCGAUAAGUAAUGUGAAUUGCAGAAUUCCGUGAAUCAUCGAAUCUUUGAACGCACAUUGCGCCCUCUGGUAUUCCGGGGGGCAUGCCUGUCCGAGCGUCAUUGCGAACCCCUCAAGCACGGCUUGUGUGAUGGGCCCUCCCGCGUCUUGGUCGUCAAGACGGGCCCGAAAUGCAGUGGCGGCUUCGUGGUUAUCCGAUCAGCCAGAGCGUAUGGGGACUUUCUCUCUGUCACACGCCCGCGGCGCGGACCGACGCCUGUCGACCUUUAUUCAUCUUUUUCUCGGUUGACCUCGGAUCAGGUAGGGAUACCCGCUGAACUUAAGC